GUCCACGCCCUAAACGAUGUCUACUAGUUGUUGGGGUAGCAAUACCUCAGUGACGCAGCUAACGCGUGAAGUAGACCGCCUGGGGAGUACGGUCGCAAGAUUAAAACUCAAAGGAAUUGACGGGGGCCCGCACAAGCGGUGGAUUAUGUGGAUUAAUUCGAUGCAACGCGAAAAACCUUACCUGUCCUUGACAUGCCACUAACGAAGCAGAGAUGCAUUAGGUGCCCGAAAGGGAAAGUGGACACAGGUGCUGCAUGGCUGUCGU
rnacentral:rRNA from 1 species